rnacentral:rRNA from 1 species
GUGCCAGCAGCCGCGGUAAUACGUAGGUGGCAAGCGUUAUCCGGAAUUAUUGGGCGUAAAGCGCGCGUAGGCGGUUUUUUAAGUCUGAUGUGAAAGCCCACGGCUCAACCGUGGAGGGUCAUUGGAAACUGGAAAACUUGAGUGCAGAAGAGGAAAGUGGAAUUCCAUGUGUAGCGGUGAAAUGCGCAGAGAUAUGGAGGAACACCAGUGGCGAAGGCGACUUUCNUGGUCUGUAACUGACGCUGAUGUGCGAAAGCGUGGGGAUCAAACAGGAUUAGAUAC